CCCAGUUUCUGUCGCUGAUCGACCCUCUUUGGCAGCGUGGACUGGCACAGCGCAUGUUCGGCGGUAUCCUGGAUCAAUGUGCUGGUAUUUCCCGAAAUGCCCCUGGCUCCCGCGCCGCGGCCACGGGUCUCCCCUCCCCUUCCAAGACGCUUCCUUUUCCCCUUCAAAAGACGACGCACCACAGGCCUUGCAUCCUCGCCAUCUUCGCCUGGACCCCUUCCUCCCUCGCGGGAUCGCCCCACGCCAACCCCGUCUCCGCCAACCUGGGCGCAGAAUUGCGAAGCUGCACAUCGAGAAGUGAGCCAUGGCGAAGAUCAAGCCGAGAGCACUGUUGGCACAGAGCAAGCAGAAGAAGAGCCCUACUAAAAUUGGCCCAACGAUGAUUGCCUACAUCGUCCUCGGUGUUCUAGCGGUGUCCUCACUCUACGCAUACAAGUACUGGAUGAGCAAAGCACCAGCUGGAGCAGAGAGUGUUGCUGGGAACUAAGCCCGACCAACUGUGGAACGAUUGAUUUUUGUUGUUGUAUGUAUCAUCUUCUUGGCUAAUCUCCGUUGUUGUACUCCAGUAAAUGGAACGUAGACAGACUUUUUUUUUGCCAUGUUUAGUUCUUCUUACCCCCCACCCCCCCUCCCCGUUACAUUUUAUUAAUACUUUCUAUGUCACAUUCUUUUCUUUGACUUGAUGUUUUUGUUCUUCUGGGGUGAUCUUGCUGGAAUGAUCGAUAUCCAUGGAAGUUGUGUCUGUUUAA